GACGAGGUGGCCGAGUGGUUAAUGCGAUGGUCUGCUAUUCCAUUGUGCGGCUGCACGCGUGGGUUCGAAUCCAAUCCUCGUCG
rnacentral:tRNA from 1 species